GUGCCUUAAACUAAUGAGUAAGGAAAAUAUAGAGCUUUGGUAACGCUUAGCUAUGCUUAAAUAAAGCGAACCAAUUUUUGAAGAGGUAAAGGUCGUCCCGCGGCCGUGCGAACUACUUUUUCGCGUGGCUGGGUGAAGCGACUUACCUC
rnacentral:snRNA from 1 species